GGCCUGUCUGGCUCAACUGGUAGAGCAUGGCAUUAGUAUUAGCCAGGGUUAGGGGUUCAAUUCUCACUGGGGCCA